UCUUGUAUGUUUUGCUUUUGGUUUAAUAAAUAAAUCAUAAAGUGAUGAAUACACCGCUACAGAAAAGUGGCGACUCUGCUGGGGACUAACCUUCUUAGUGGGUUUGCCAACUUUUCACAAUUGUUGUGAUAUAUUGUUUAUGACAUAUUUUUGUACAAAUUUGGGAUGAAUGUAUUGGUUGUAAUGAUUGAUUUGUUUGAUAUAUCAAUUGCUUGCUUGUUUGGUGAUCUGUGAGAUGAGUUCUAUACCCGAACUGGAGUGUACCUUAUGAUAGGAGAAUGGCA
rnacentral:lncRNA from 1 species